GGGUAAGUCUCAUACGACCAGCUCCCUUUGAACUCCCCCAGGGUCGGAAGGCAGCAAGGGUAGAAGGUUGUAGCGGUGCGAUGUGAGUAGCUUACCCUUU
rnacentral:SRP_RNA from 1 species